GAUUCACGCUUCUGUGUUUGGUCAUGGCUUCAAUUCUGAUCUAUUUGUCGCUAAUGCACUGGUUACAUUUUGUGCCAGGUCUAGUGAUUUGGACUUGGAUAGAAAGGCACUUGACGAAAUGCAUGAUAGAAAUGUUAUAUCAUAGAAUGCCUAACAGCUUGAAAAUCAGGCCGGUGUUAUUAUUCCUAUUCCCCACCUUGUUUAUUUUGUUUUCUGUUCGUUUAGCACAAAAACAUGAGAUUGUACAACAUUUGCAAGCGAAGAAACAUAUAUGUGGAAUGACUGGUGAUGGAGUGAAUGAUGCUUUGUAGUAACUGAUCAUGCAAUCUUUCAAGAGUAUGAAAAUUUACACAGGAUGAGUAACAAUACAGUUAACUCGUAAACCAGGAUACUCGAUAGGGUUCUUAUCUACCAGAUUUGUUUCUGGUUUCCCAUCUGAUGUCUAUCUAGCUACAACCAAUAAUAUUGGGAAAAUUUAUUUGAUUGCAGAUGAAACAAUGAGUAUCUACAGAUGCAAGUUUUCUAAAUGGAUUUAUUUUUCUAUAAUAGAUCAUGAACUUCUGCUUUGUUAGCUGUAGACUGUAGUAAGGGUACUAGAUGGUAAUUUUUGUUGUGGUGUUAACUUUAUUCUGCGGGAUCCCUCAUCUUGGACCGGGUGGGCUUGGGUUGCAUUAGAGUAGAUAGUCUAGUUUAGUUUUUCUUUUGGGGCAAUGUUGGGGACACAUGAUAGGCAGGCUCGGACAAUUUUUUGAGCUGAGGGCCUGUCUGAAUGUAAUUCUGUUGUAUAGCUCUUGUUGGGGAUUUCUAUGCCUUUAUUGGUAAAUCAUAUGCUGUUAUAUCUUUAUGCAUAAUGAAUUAUGUAAAUUAUUACUCUUGAUCAGAGCAAAAUGUUUUAGAAGUCUUUUCCCUUGAUCAAGAAAAAGAUAAUAAUGAAUUUCAAAACAUGGGUGAUGACAGCCAUGUUUUGGACUUGCAUUGCAUAAUCUGGAGUUCGAAUAUGUGUUGCUAUGAUAUUAUUGCAUUGGUUGCCUGGUUAUCAUGGUUUCAGAAUGUUGUAUUUGGUGUACCUACCAUUUUUGUCAUUCCUAUUAAAGCUUUCAUUCUCAGUUUGUGAAAUGCUAGAUAUGUUCUAAGCAUACAUGUUACUAUCACCAUGCCAGGUUGCUGCUGAAAAUGUACUAGUACUGAAUUCAGUGAGAUCUACUUUUUUAUUUCUUUUCCUUGUGUGCAGGAUUUUAAUCAAUUGUGCCUAAAUUUAGGCCUACAAACUAGCACUUCAGCCUUUUGACGCUACUCGUGCUAGGAGUACCAUAUAGAGGAUUUUAUUAUUAUUAUUAUUUAAGACCAUUUUCAAUUUAUUGUAAUAAAUAUUAUAUAUAUUUUUUAUUGUGAAGUAAUAUAGAUUUUUUUUAA